AUUGAACGCUGGCGGCAUGCCUUACACAUGCAAGUCGAACGGCAGCACGGAGCUUGCUCUGGUGGCGAGUGGCGAACGGGUGAGUAAUAUAUCGGAACGUACCCUAGAGUGGGGGAUAACGUAGCGAAAGUUACGCUAAUACCGCAUACGAUCUAAGGAUGAAAGUGGGGGAUCGCAAGACCUCAUGCUCGUGGAGCGGCCGAUAUCUGAUUAGCUAGUUGGUAGGGUAAAAGCCUACCAAGGCAUCGAUCAGUAGCUGGUCUGAGAGGGCGACCAGCCACACUGGAACUGAGACACGGUCCAGACUCCUACGGGAGGCAGCAGUGGGGAAUUUUGGACAAUGGGCGAAAGCCUGAUCCAGCAAUGCCGCGUGAGUGAAGAAGGCCUUCGGGUUGUAAAGCUCUUUUGUCAGGGAAGAAACGGUGAAAGCUAAUAUCUUUUGCUAAUGACGGUACCUGAAGAAUAAGCACCGGCUAACUACGUGCCAGCAGCCGCGGUAAUACGUAGGGUGCAAGCGUUAAUCGGAAUUACUGGGCGUAAAGCGUGCGCAGGCGGUUUUGUAAGUCUGAUGUGAAAUCCCCGGGCUCAACCUGGGAAUUGCAUUGGAGACUGCAAGGCUAGAAUCUGGCAGAGGGGGGUAGAAUUCCACGUGUAGCAGUGAAAUGCGUAGAUAUGUGGAGGAACACCGAUGGCGAAGGCAGCCCCCUGGGUCAAGAUUGACGCCCAUGCACGAAAGCGUGGGGAGCAAACAGGAUUAGAUACCCUGGUAGUCCACGCCCUAAACGAUGUCUACUAGUUGUCGGGUCUUAAUUGACUUGGUAACGCAGCUAACGCGUGAGGUAGACCGCCUGGGGAGUACGGUCGCAAGAUUAAAACUCAAAGGAAUUGACGGGGACCCGCACAAGCGGUGGAUGAUGUGGAUUAAUUCGAUGCAACGCGAAAAACCUUACCUACCCUUGACAUGGCUGGAAUCCUUGAGAGAUCAGGGAGUGCUCGAAAGAGAACCAGUACACAGGUGCUGCAUGGCUGUCGUCAGCUCGUGUCGUGAGAUGUUGGGUUAAGUCCCGCAACGAGCGCAACCCUUGUCAUUAGUUGCUACGAAAGGGCACUCUAAUGAGACUGCCGGUGACAAACCGGAGGAAGGUGGGGAUGACGUCAAGUCCUCAUGGCCCUUAUGGGUAGGGCUUCACACGUCAUACAAUGGUACAUACAGAGCGCCGCCAACCCGCGAGGGGGAGCUAAUCGCAGAAAGUGUAUCGUAGUCCGGAUUGUAGUCUGCAACUCGACUGCAUGAAGUUGGAAUCGCUAGUAAUCGCGGAUCAGCAUGUCGCGGUGAAUACGUUCCCGGGUCU
rnacentral:rRNA from 1 species